GACGAACGCUGGCGGCGUGCUUAACACAUGCAAGUCGAACGAAGAGCGAUGGAAGCUUGCUUCUAUCAAUCUUAGUGGCGAACGGGUGAGUAACGCGUAAUCAACCUGCCCUUCAGAGGGGGACAACAGUUGGAAACGACUGCUAAUACCGCAUACGAUCUAAUCUCGGCAUCAAGGAUAGAUGAAAGGUGGCCUCUACAUGUAAGCUAUCACUGAAGGAGGGGAUUGCGUCUGAUUAGCUAGUUGGAGGGGUAACGGCCCACCAAGGCGAUGAUCAGUAGCCGGUCUGAGAGGAUGCACGGCCACAUUGGGACUGAGACACGGCCCAGACUCCUACGGGAGGCAGCAGUGGGGAAUCUUCCGCAAUGGACGAAAGUCUGACGGAGCAACGCCGCGUGAGUGAUGACGGCCUUCGGGUUGUAAAGCUCUGUUAAUCGGGACGAAAGGCCUUCUUGCGAAUAGUGAGAAGGAUUGACGGUACCGGAAUAGAAAGCCACGGCUAACUACGUG
rnacentral:rRNA from 1 species